rnacentral:rRNA from 1 species
UCUUGGUCAUUUAGAGGAAGUAAAAGUCGUAACAAGGUUUUUUGACCCCGGAAGCCUUGAGAAUCACCAGUAAGCCGUCCGGCGGGCAACAUCCGCCCGUAGCUGGGAACCCCCCUCAGGUGGGACGAUAACCAGCUGCUACACGUUCCCCCGUGUAGUCCACAGAUCAAACGCGGGUGGCCCCCCAGCCUUCGGGGGUUGAGAUAUGACCGUAGCCAGCACUGCCAAGUGCUCUGGACAACUAGUUCCGUAGGUGAACCUGCGGAAGGAUCAUUA